CUUUAUUUUUUAAAUUCAGUUUUUGAUAAAAAUUUAUAUCAUCUGUCCACCAAAAAAAGUGCUCAAACCUGAAAAGUUAUAAGAGUGCGGAAGCAAAGGAUAUACUUUCAUAUAUUUGGAAUAUUUCGCAAGUUACAUUCCAUAAUUUCGACCCCUCAGCCCAUAGUAACUGACCUGGAAUAUCUCAGGACAUGCGUGUGUCCCAGUGACGGUACUUUCUGAAUAAGGUGGCGGAUCAAAGUGCAGAUGGACCCGGGACUGAAACCCAGUUAUGGUAUGUGAAAUCCAUCAUAUACAAUUGCACACUCGUUUAACAUCACCUGAUUUUUUCAUUGAAAGCGUCUCGUUCAUACUUGCUGCUUUGUUUAAAACAGUGUACCUAGGUCUGAGGCGUUCAAGGAGUAAAAUUUGCAAAUGACCAUGACAUAAGACAUUUACAGAUAUACUUUGUUUUGUUUGUAAGGGAUUUAUUGCACAGAAAGGUAUAACAGUCUCUUCGCUGCGCAAUUCGAUGACAUUGAUUUACUAACCACUUACUGAAAUGCAGAAGGCAAUCAUAAAUGAUCAUUCUUCACUUUAUAAAUGGUAAUUAUCAGAAAUAAUGUUGAUAUCUAUAAAUUUUACUUACAGUACUUUGCUUCGUUUGUAAGGGCUUUAUUGUACAGAGGAGCAGUUUGAAACAAUUACAUCAAUGGAUUUCUCAGGAGAAGUUCUGCAAAACUGAUGUUUUCCCAAUUUCUAAGGAAUCCAACUUGGAGAGUGGCAAUCAUCUGCAAAUGCUUUUUAGAAAGGGAUAGAAUUUGACAAGAAAUUGAAAUACCGAACGCAGGAAUGGUGUUCGAAUACAAAAUAAUCCUUUUUUAUCUGAUGAUAGCAUUAGAAAUUAUACGUCUACGUGCACUUCACACAUCUAGAAUAACUCCCUUGCAGAAGAAAGAUUCAGAAAUAAACGAUGGAUGGUAUUUCAAGAAUUUCCAGCCCGAAAUGAUGUAUUCCUCAAAUAAUCAACUGGGAUUUUCUCUGAACAGCAAGUCUCGCCAAUUGUUAUCAACUGGCGUUGUUAUUAACGAUCUCUCAAGGAUGUUGAAUGAUAUCAACGACAAACGUUUAAGACGCUAUCCUAGUAUUCGACAAAAUUAUAAGAUGAAAUCGUUGCACGAUAAACGCGUUACAAAGCACCUUGCUCAAGAGACACGGGAAUCUCAACGGGUUAUAUACCGAAGGCCAACAGUCCUAUGGAAAAUAUAAAGCUUUCAUCAGACUCUCAGGUUUCAGAUCAUAUUAAUAUCAUUGUACAUUUCUUUAAAAACAUAAUAUUUUCAUGAAUGAUUUCCUAAUUAAUAUGAAUAUAAAUAAUA